CAAUGGCCCCGAAGGGGUGAGUUGCGCAGCAGAGAAUAACCCUCGUGGUUCGAGCCGAGCGUAGCGAGACCACGUCGGAGCUUGCGACGACAGCCCGAAGGGUGAGGAGUGAAACGACGAGUAAUCCCUCCCUCACCGCCA
rnacentral:sRNA from 1 species